ACAAGUGUGCUGUGAGUCCCACAGGAGACAGGCUGUACAUCACCAGCUACCCUGACAAGCUUCUCACCCUGGCCAGGGAUGGCACACUCCUGGCUACAUACACAGACCCAGCACUAGAGUACCCAGUGGAUCUACAUGUGACCCCUGCAGGCCAGGUGCUGGUCUGUGGAUUCCAGUCCGACACUGUAGUACAGAUGGGCUGGGAGGGGCAUAGUAAGCUGGCUACUCUUGCUACUAAGUGGGAUUGGGUGAGGGGGCCAUGGUCAGUCUGCUACAGCAGCACAACAUCCUCCAUCAUUGUGGGACAGAAGUUGUACGACAACAUCCGGGUGUUCAGAGUGGAAUAGUGUGUACAUUCGCUGCUGAGUCAGGACAAGGAUGCUGAGGAUGUGGUGGACAAGGAUGACCUGAAUACACAGAAGCUACUGCUCAGCAAAGAAUACAACUGUCUGGUGAAAGACUCGACCGUAUCAAAGUCCAGUGAUGUCGGGGUAUGUGGCCGUUCCAUGUCUGGGGAUUGCAUUUUAGCCGACACUAACAAGGGAGAGAACUGAAGAUCUGCACCUGCAGUGAGUUGUUCCCCUUUAAUUGCUGUUUAAUUAAUUUAACGGACAAUAAAAAGGAAGAAAACUGAAGAUUUGCACCAGCAAAGAGCACCAGCCUUGAUAUAGAGUUGGUACGGCAACGACACAAGUCUGGCCCGCUGGAGCCCCAGUCCAGCACGACCCCUCCCCUGACCCCUAGCUCCUCCCAUUUACCUCCGGCAUCAAAGAGUCAGCAUUGUUAAACAAUUCCAUCCCAUAGCAAUUUCUGAGCACAUAGAGUGUUCGCACAUUUUUCUCAACAACCGCAAUGUCCGUGUUGAGUGAUCCGCACUUGAGCCCUGAUUGGUUUGAUAGACUCAAGUGCCGGAGGUGGUAGAAGUGUUACAGACAUAGGAAGUUAUUGCAGCAGUUAUGGUAACACUAACAGUCAGCUCUCGCUGUUGGACAUGAAUAUUACGAAAAAUACAAAGCUGGAUAACUCAUUGCAUUCUUUUUGGGACAAACAGAACUGCAGCAAGGAACAGGAGAAAAUCACGGAAUGUUUGAAGAGUUUAAGUCAGAAGCGUAAGCCUUUCACCGGGGAUACUACUGGAUGGUCUUUACUUAAGGGACAGUCCAGGUUUGUCCUCUCAGGUGUCCAAACUGUCCAAAGAGAAUGCAUUUAUUUUUUACGCAGUUGCUAACAAGAAAGGCAGUACCGACUUUGUUGUGAACAGUCAAGCAUGGUACAUCCCUGCGGAAUGCCUCAGGUGGGAAUUCCAUCUGCAACAAGGUGCUAAAGGUGAACCCAUCAGGGUGUGUUACUAACCACUUCAAGACCAAACAGCCUCACAUUGAUUCGACGAUAAAGAAGGCGUUGAAAAAUGACAGCAGUUUUGAUGUGUCAUCCAGUUCGCUCUUCGACUCUCAACCCAACGUUAGUAAGAACCCAAACUCAGCAUUUAGCGUUAUCAGCGAGGCUCGAAGGUCAUCUCUGCUUCUUGAGCUUCAGAUAAAAUUAUAAGCCAUCAAGACGAACAUCGUUGAAUCAUUUGGCACAUAUACUAAAACUCGCUCAAGAAAUUCAGCACAUCACUUAUGAACAUCUUCUCGCAAGGUGGCUACAUCAACACUUCCAACAGAUGAGCCUUGGUGAGUUCCACUCCUGUCCCGAUGAGUCGCUCGAGGUGAAACAAUCUGAUCCACAGAUAGAGCAGACGCUGAGUGACUCGUCUGUUAACGUGACUGACCUCCAUAUGUUGCUCUCUAAUAAUGUGCCUGAGGAGCAGUGUUGUCCUACAUUCCCGGUUCAGGUCGGUGACUUUGGCGUCACGACUCAUACAAUCUCUGUCUAUGGCCCUAUCGCAGCAACAGCAGCAAAAACAGGAAGUAUUUCAGCUGCACUCUGGGAAAACAGGGCUUAAUGCAUGUGCCUAAAGUGUUUUACCCACAAAAGCGUGUUAAGUCUGCCCAAGCUAAUUUG